GCCUUCGUGGUGUAGUGGUCAGCACACCCGGCGCGAAAUCGAGGGGUCUGUGGUUUGAAUCCCGACGAAGGCA
rnacentral:tRNA from 1 species